UACGUAGGGUGCGAGCGUUGUCCGGAAUCACUGGGCGUAAAGGGCGCGUAGGCGGCCUGAUAAGUAGGGGGUGAAAUCUUGCGGCUCAACCGCAAGGCUGCCUUCUAAACUGUCAGGCUGGAGCACGGUAGAGGCAGAUGGAAUUCCCGGUGUAGCGGUGGAAUGCGUAGAGAUCGGGAAGAACACCAGUGGCGAAGGCGGUCUGCUGGGCCGUUGCUGACGCUGAGGCGCGACAGCGUGGGGAGCAAACAGG
rnacentral:rRNA from 1 species